CUUCUUACACAACACGAGGAUGUGUCGGUGGAAGUAACGGACCGCGGUGAGGACCGCACACAAAUCAUAACAACAAACACCAGCACGAGUAACGCACAUCAGCUGAUUUCAGAUAGACCCUCACACCAGCUGGGUCUGGCUCAAGAUGUCGGCACCAGCAUCAUUAUAUAGAGUGUUGAGUAGAGUUGUCAUUUCCAGCAGCAGUUGUAGAGCAAGUUUAUCUAGCGCUGCAUCACAGAAACAUAGUAAAAGGAAUUUGACAUCAUCCACUCCUCACUCAGCAAGGAAGGAGGAUCCCUUGGAGGAAACAUCAUUGACAAUACGGAGCUUAUUUGACUCAAAGGAGCGGAACAAAGGGACCUUUGUGGCAGCUUGUGAUAUCUUCAUGAAGAGGGGCCCACACCGUCGUGGCCAUGUGGAGUUCAUCUAUAGUGCCCUCAAGCUUAUGGAAGAUUAUGGGGUGCAUAAAGAUUUGGAGGUGUAUAAAAGGCUACUGAAUUUGAUGCCCAAAGGGAAGAUGGUUCCCACAAACAUCUUCCAAAUUGAGUUCAUGCACUACCCAAAGCAGCAGCAGUGUGCCAUCGACUGCCUUGAACAAAUGGAGAUGAAUGGAGUCAUGCCAGACACUGAGAUGGAGCAUAUUCUGAGGAACCUGUUUGGGAAGAUGAGUCACCCAGUGCGCAAGUUUGGACGCAUGAUGUACUGGAUGCCAAAGUUCAAGAAUGCCUCACCAUGGAUUCUCCCUCAAGUCGUUCCCAAUGAUGCCUUUGAGUUGGCAAAGAUGGCAGUGGAACGCAUGUGCACAGUUGAUCCUUCCUCCUCCAUUACAAUAUAUCAGACCAGUGAAGUAGAAGAUGCACUGGAGGACACUUGGAUUGUUAGUGGUCAGAGCACAGUGCAGCAGGAACUCCUGGAGAAACACCCACCUGGGGAAUCUAUUAAGGUGGAAGGGCCCUUCAGGAUACAUCUGCGUAACAAGUCUGUUGGUUACUUUGUCCUUCGGGCAGAAGCCAAACCUAAGCCUCCUCCACCUUCCAGAGCAGUUAUUGAUGAUGUUGGUUCCAUCAAGUCUUGGUUUACUGGUGAGCUAGAACCUGAGGAGACAUUGUUGACCCAGCCCUGCAGUGUGCAUGAGCAGGAAGAUGGAACAAUCCUUGCUUUGUGUGUCACAGGAACGUCAGGCCGGGACUCCCUACUCUCAUGGAUCCGCCUGCUGGAGAAAAGCAAUCCUUGUCUGGCCAGGAUCCCUGUACUCUUCACACAAGCUAGUCCUAUUGGUGAGGUGAUAACCGUAGAGCCAGAAAAGCAUCACGAUGAAAUUACUGCAGCUACUUAACUCAGAAACUGAGAACAAGAGUAAUAGAGAAGUUGCAUACCACUGUAUAGAGCUCAGGAGUGUAAAGCUCUGCCAACCGACCAUACAGCACCACUGCCUCCUGCUUCACCUGGUGAACACAUCAAGUCCAAGACACUUCUCAGUACUAGCAUUAAUUCCAAUGUAAAAGGAACUUUCAUUUGUACUGUAAUAUUGAGUCAACCCAUUUUCUAUAUUCUGACAACAAAACCAGCUGGCUCAAUAAAUGACAACUGAAAAUAUUGAAAAUGAAAAGUGCCUGAUAAAGCUGGAAAAGACAUCCAAUAAUGUGAAGCAUUUAAAAUAUUCUUUUAUAAUGGUUGUAAUUAUGGAGACCAUAUCUCUUUAACACAUCUGGAUCAUUAGUUGCUAUUUGACAGCCUCUUCUGGCUCAUUUGGAUAUCCCUUGUUGAGAUGUAUGUACAAGUAAUGGCUAUAUUUUCUAUUCCCACCAUUUCAGAAGUUUUUACUCACUGUGCAUAAAAGAAUACAGUUUC